UAAGGAUUCAGACACACUACAUUUAAUUCAUAGGCAGUGUAGUAGACUGCACAGUGACUAGUGAACAGUGCUGCUAAAUAUUACUGUUCAGCAAUUCACAGCCAGAGCAUACCUGACUGUUAAGCAUUUAGCACAACUCCACACUAAAAAAUAUGGAAAGUUUCAGAAUGAAUCUUAAGGUGAAGACUGCAGUUUGAAAACUGGAGCCUAAACAAUCUUUUUGAAAUACCAAUAUUUCAUUUCCUUCUGUGUGUGCCCAAGUAUUUUGCUGAGCUCUGAAAUAGUAUUUUUCUGCCAGUUACGCCAAGCAAAAGUGUUACUAAAUCCAUUGGUAAGUAUGAUCUGUGGAUAUGAUUCAAAUACACAUUUGGCAGUUUUACUAUAUAAGGUUGUACAUGAAACUGAAGAACGUAACAUUAGAAUUGUGGGAUCAGGCUGGUAGUCUUACAUUAGGCAUAGAAAGACAUUUCCAAAAACAUUGUUUGUGGUUUUACCAGACAAAUAGGAGAAGCACAGAACAGCUUUAUGUACAGCAUCCCCUGCAGAAACCAUCACUGCCAAAAUGCUGAAGAACAAAAAGCUGAAAUUUGACUCAAUUAAUUAUUUUCUUUAAUACCUAUGCACUUUUGAUAUUAAUCAAUGCAGCAUCAGCAGUGGUUUGUCUUUGUCCCACAAGUGUUAACGAUUUCCUGUAUGCUGGGGAUAACACCAGCUGUCACAUUAUACAAACUGGCACAAAAUGGAUCUUCCAUGUUUCUACAGUACACAGAUACAUCAUGGCUGAUAUGUUGUAUAGUCUUUGGUACUGUACAUUAUUGCUGGUGUUCUAAUUCUUAUAUUCUUAAACUGAUUAAAGCGCUGUUGUGAGGAGGCUAUGGACUGAUAGGGUGGACAUUUUUGAGUUGCAUUUGCCCGAAUUUGACUUACUUUCUCAAGUUGGAUUUCUGGUACUGCUCAGAAGUGAAGAGAUGUUCUAGAAAACUCUUCAGCAUGCUCCAACUGAUUUGUUAAAUCAAAAGAUAAGGUGAGAAGGAACGUGUUUUUAAAGAAGUACGGUUUUUGGGGAAAAAAAUGAAAAUAACUAAUUGAAAGAAUAAAAAUGUAAGGUGCUGUUUGUUUUUACUGGUGACAAUAAACUUUGACUCACUUUUUUAAA
ensembl:lncRNA